AUGCAAGUCGAACGGUAAGGCCCCCUUCGGGGGGUACACGAGUGGCGCACGGGUGAGUAACGCGUGGGUAAUCUACCUUUGGGUUUGGGACAACUCCGGGAAACUGGAGCUAAUACCGAAUAAGACCACGGAGCCUUCGGUCUCUGCGGAAAAAGAUGGCCUCUUCUUGAAAGCUAUCGCCCGUCGAUGAGCCCGCGUACCAUUAGCUUGUUGGUGAGGUAAAGGCUCACCAAGGCUACGAUGGUUAGCUGGUCUGAGAGGAUGAUCAGCCACACUGGAACUGAGACACGGUCCAGACUCCUACGGGAGGCAGCAGUCGGGAAUCUUGGGCAAUGGGCGAAAGCCUGACCCAGCAACGCCGCGUGAGGGAUGAAGGCCCUCGGGUCGUAAACCUCUGUCGGGAGGGAAGAACAGCAUCCAGUCGAAUAGGCUGGGUGUUUGACGGUACCUCCAAAGGAAGCGCCGGCUAACUCCGUGCCAGCAGCCGCGGUAAUACGGAGGGCGCAAGCGUUGUUCGGAAUCAUUGGGCGUAAAGCGCGUGUAGGUGGCUUGGAAAGUUGGAUGUGAAAGCCCGGGGCCCAACCCCGGAAUUGCAUUCAAAACUCCCUCGCUAGAGUCCCGGAGAGGAAGGCGGAAUUCCCGGUGUAGAGGUGAAAUUCGUAGAUAUCGGGAGG
rnacentral:rRNA from 1 species